GUUAUAUUGUGUCACCAUUGAUUAUAUACACGGACAUCACUCAAGAAUGUGCGUGAUAAUCCUCAUCAACUUACUCCAACUUCCACUUAAUGACGAUCCAACAAAAUUUUCGGUACAAUAGGUUUUUAUUAUUUAUUGCUCUAAAACACUUCCCCAGACAACCACGCAUAAUUUCUCCAGAUUCAGCGAAGUAAUUUCGCGCUACUGCUUCAACAAAGUUCUUGUGCAUCACACGCGACACUCGGGAACUUCCGCUCGAAGGGCCGACACGGAAGGAUUACCGGCCUUGCACGUAGUCAGCGACAAUGCGGGCGCGUUACGUUCGUGCUCAAGGGGACGCUCAAACAGCGUGAACAAGCAUCUGUUUGCUAGCAGCGACUGCCACAUCUAGCAGUGUCUGUCGGAUCGACCAACGUAACGGUACGUUAAGGGCAGCCAGCCAGACGAAACUUGGAGGUCCGCGACAAUGCAACACGGGGGUUGUGCGCACCGCCGCCGCACCAUGCAGGCUGGCAUUUUCGCACCUUCCUCCGCUUCUGCCUGGGCUCACAUCAAAACGCGCGACGCGUAGCCCUGGACCACAGCCGCGCGACCAGCAGAGGACUAGUUUCAGAUGCGGAGUACUAGUCGUGACAUUUAUGUGCGCAAAUUACGUUAGCUUCAUGGCCUACGGCGAUUCGCUUCAGCCACAACUCCAUUUUGGAGAGCGGUAACGAACGCGACAGUCGCCGCACAAGCUUUAUGAUGCAGCGUGUACGGACGCGAACAAGAGCUUCCUGUGCUCCGGUAUCGCCACGGUUUGUUUCGACUAGUGUGAGGACCUAUAUAGAUGCUCGUACAUACAUGGCUAGCUCACAUAGGCUGCAGCAAAUUGUGUAUGGACGCAUGAAUCAUUUAAUACAGCAAUUUCUAUUGAAAUUUUGUUCAGAUUGCCCACUGACAGCAUGACAGUCAACAUAGCUAUUAUGAAAAUAUAUAAGCUUAUUUCCACCGUUAAAACAUGGAAGCCUCGAUUUAACAGAAUUUUCCAUUUGUCCAAGUUCUCCACUACAUGUGCAACUUAAAUCGAUGGUCGACUAUAACGCCCAUUAGGCCAUUCAACUUACGUGAAAAUAGAAAUCUGUGUUGGGAAUAAACACUACAGUUAGUAUCAAGAAGACCAAUAUAGUCUGAACAACACGAAGUCAUUUAGUCCAAAUCAAUAAU